GACGAACGCUGGCGGCGUGCUUAACACAUGCAAGUCGAACGGAAAGGCCCUGCUUUUGUGGGGUGCUCGAGUGGCGAACGGGUGAGUAACACGUGAGUAACCUGCCCUUGACUUUGGGAUAACUUCAGGAAACUGGGGCUAAUACCGGAUAGGAGCUCCUGCUGCAUGGUGGGGGUUGGAAAGUUUCGGCGGUUGGGGAUGGACUCGCGGCUUAUCAGCUUGUUGGUGGGGUAGUGGCUUACCAAGGCUUUGACGGGUAGCCGGCCUGAGAGGGUGACCGGCCACAUGGGGACUGAGAUACGGCCCAGACGCCUACGUGAGGCAGCAGUGGGGAAUAUUGCACAAUGGGCGGAAGCCUGAUGCAGCAACGCCGCGUGCGGGAUGACGGCCUUCGGGUUGUAAACCGCUUUCGCCUGUGACGAAGCGUGAGUGACGGUAAUGGGUAAAGAAGCACCGGCUAACUACGUG
rnacentral:rRNA from 1 species